UGCCCGCGGCGAUGCCUGCGGUUGUUGCGUUGCGGGAACUCAGCGCAGCCUGCAGAGAGCGGUCCGGCGGCACGGGAAGAUGGAGGCCGUGCGGUGCGAGUGCCUCAGCGGUGUGUGCAGCCCGCGAGGAGCCGAGCGGGGCCGGGAAGAGGAAGCCGUGGGAGUCCCGGGGAGGGACGCGCGAUGGCAGCGUCAGCGGCGGGCUCGGCUGCUGCCUCCUCCGCUCCUGACGCCGCGCGCUGGCGCACUUUGAGAAGCGCCCAGAAGCCGGAGCCCGCUGUCACAUCUGUGGGGUUCCACGGAACGCGCAGACGUGGGCUGCCAGCUGCUGGUGGACCUGAAUGAGAAGAGAUUGACCCAAAACUCGAAUGAUGGUGAGUGUGCUUGUUUGCUGUGCCACGCUGUGCCAGGCAUUUGCUGCAAUCAAGUCAGCGUAGGGAGUGUAGAGGACAAUGCACGUCUGCUUUUCCUGCUUGAGAAAAUCCAACUGAAUGCCAGCUGACAGAGGAAGUAUUUUUCCAGAUAAACUCUCUGGGCAUGCUGUUCUCUCCUGGUUGAACCCACAAGGUUCCACCCAUGCAGUGGUUAUUCCUGUGCCCGUCUUCCAAAGCCCAGGCUCCAUGAAGGCACAGAUGAAGAUGCCAUCACUGACGGCUUGACCAAACUCAAUGCUUCCCAAUGUCAGCGAGUUCUGAUCACCUACAAGAGCACUCCUGCAGGGCUUGAUCGAUGACUGGAAGUGACUUGAAGCUGAGUGGGAAUUCUGAGAGGGUGAUGAUUGGGAUGAUGACUGCCAGCACCGUGUGUGACGUGCAGAACUAAGGAGGGCUGUGAAGGUUUGGAAGUCUUCCUUUCGAAUGGCUCAAGUUCUGGCCAAGGACUUGCUGCUUUAUUAUGUAUGUCUUCUUAUUUAUUAACUCUUAAAGAAACCUGGCUGCACGUCACAAGCAGGUGCUGGUAUCUGAAAUCUUGCUUGGCGAUUCCCUAGGGAGCAGGAACAGGUGAAGGCUGCCUGAUUGAAAUUCUGGCUUCUCGCACCAGUGAAGAGAUUGGUCGCAUUGAUGAGAACUGCGAGCUUUGUAAGCAGAGCAAAAGGCCAGGCCUUGUCCUGCUGCCUGCCAUCAGUGUGUGUGUGUGCAGGCAGGCGUGAUAGGAAGGAGUCUGGGGAGCUUUCAGGUGUGACAAACUGGCCAACCUGGGUGUUGCUGUUUAUGCAGAGAGAAGCUAGACUGGAAUUUCAGCAGCAGCUGAACUGGUGUAACUGAAAUGGGGAGGAGCAUUCUGUCUGUCAGCGGGACGUGUGGCUCUCUUGCCAGUUUCUUGCUGUCUGCGCUUCUUAAUUGGAGGCUGCAGCACUGAUGAUGAUGGCUGGAGCGCUGCAGUGAUGCUGAGAGCCCUGAGCCCAGCUCUGCACGUAGCAGGAGCCCAAAGCACACCUGAGCUGCGUUUCGCUGUGUUUGUGAGCUGUGUUCCCUUUGAAGGACUCCAUUAUCCAUCUCCAGCACCCGUUCCUGAAUGGGGAGUUCUCAGGAGUUGCUUCCAGUAGAUGCUCUGGUGAACCGAGUCUUCUCUCCUUGUGUCCUUGCAGGGAACAGAGGUCAGUUGUCCAUCUCAACAUCCAGCGCAGGAACAACAUUUCAUUCCCACAGUGCAUAAUGCUGUGAAGGCAUCGCAGGCCGCCCGCUCGUCUCCGCCAUGCUCAGGGGCUUUGCUGAGCUGCAGGCCCAGCGCUGCAGCCCCACAGCACAGCCUCACGUCUGGUGACGGACUGCAGCUGGAAAACCCUGGCAGCGGAGGACGCUCCUGCCCCACAGAAGGACUCGCAGCUCCAGCGCCCUCAGUGCUGGAAGGAGGCUGCGGUGCCUCCACGCGAUGGAUGCGGUCCACCCGACAGCUCGUGUGGCUCACCGUGCGAGGCCAGCAGGAAGAAAGGUGGGCACGGGAUUAUCAUGAGUUCUAGAUAUGCAGCUAAAAGAGUCUGAAAACCAGGAGUCCAAACCCUUGUCUGUGGAAGGCCCACCUAGCUACCCAGCUCCCGAGCAAAGAAAAGGAAGAAUCAAGUCUUCAGUCAGCACACACACUCCAGUCAGUCAGCUCCGCAAUAAAAGCUACCUUUUCCAUGCACCUCCA